CCAGCACAGACACCAGAUCAGGAUAUAAGCAGUUGGAACUGUUCUUAUUCUCAGAAAGUGUGGAUGAGGACAGAGCUCCAAUCUCUGGGACUGUGGCCUGGGUCCUAUCAUUUACUCAAGCCAGGAAACGCCCUUUCAUUAUGGCGUCUCCCUCCACAGCCAGAACUCAUUGACACAGUGUUAGCACUCCCAUCCCGCAAUUUCUUUCAGCUCUAUCCAUUUUUUAUUUGGAAACCAGAGAGUGACAUCAUGGUGAGACUGAGAAAUAAUUAUGUACUCCCAUGUCUUCAUGGUUGUCCAAAGCCAGAUAUAGUCUCAGCUGGUGUGGGUAGGCCUCGAGUGAUUGUUGGCUCCAGUGGACAAUACUACAUCUUUGCUUCACGCCUUCGCUGCAGGAUGUGCAAGAGGAUCUGGUUUGCUGCGGUUCACAAACAUUCUGCCAGCAUUCCUCACGUACAAGAAGGCCAUUUGCAAGUCUGUGCUUCAUGAGCUUAGGCGCACGGGCAAGUCAGCCUCAGACAUGGCAAACCAGGUGAAUGAGCUGAUGCACCUUAAAUAUGAACAAGCUCAUCUGGCAUACCUUUGCAGCAUACAGAAUGUCUGGGAUGCUGAGGCUGGGAUUUACGGGCAGAAAACUCUUGGUCACCUCGUGAGGAAGGAUGACACGCCACAGUCUUUUGGAGCCUAUGAUGACGCAGAGGGGUGGUGUGGAGUCUCUGUCUCUGCUCACUACUUGACUGACUGCCUUAUUGAUGAAUACCGCCGCCAAGAGCCAGCUAUCACUAAACUCCUGCAAGGCACUUUUGGACAGGUUAUGCGGUCUGACCACACCAGGAAGGUGGCACGAAAAGUAACCUUGUCAUCCGGCACCAUGUCAAGCUACGCAGUUAUGAAUGAGAGUUGGAUGAUUGCCUCCUGGGUGAUGGUGCAGUCUGAGACAGAGAAGUCCCUUGAACCCAUGUACCAGGGCUUAUCCAAGAGGUACAGUGAUGCAGGGGUGGAGAAGGCCAAUUACCACUGGGUAGACAGGGAUUGCUGUGCGCCAUUCAAAAUCCCUGACCUUCACCACGGAGAGCACCUCAAAUGGGAUGCCUGGAGGACCACACAAUCUGUCAUCACUGAGGCCACUGCUGGGACUCUGGUGAACACCUGUGCGUCCCGUACACAGUACAACCCGGACAUUGUGGUGAAAUUGGAUUUGUUUCACUGCAUGAGGCGUUUCACACGUGAGUGCACUUCAGAACACCAUCCCCUCUACAGCACCUUCUGUCAGCUCCUCUCCACUGCCUUUUCUGUUGUGGAUUUGGACGAUCUGCAGAGGCUCAAGGAUGCUUAUCAGUUUUGUGGAAUUCAGCCACCAAAUCCCACAAAACAGCACACCAGGGAUCACUGUAGGACCAAAAUUCCACAGCCGAUAGAACUGGUAGACAGAGUAGAGAAAGUUCUUUACCAUUUCCACCUGACCACAGACCCAAACAACAUGCCGCUCUUCAAACCAUCCAUGCUGAAGACAUGGCGGAUCCAGAGGGUGCACAUUCUCCGCGGGUGCCUCAGUGACCCUGAGGUCACAGGGGCAAUCCUGUACAGGUAUGGGGGAACUCUGCAGCUUAAUCAUGUCCCUGGUGAAGGUGCAAAAGUCCCCAUCUGGAUUCCAGUCAGAGGGACCUCACAGCAAGAGGGGUAUCAUUUCCACCAGUCCCAGUGGAUUACUGGAACUCAUGUGUCCUGCGAAUUGUUCCAGGCCCAGGGCAUGACAGGGGUGGCACGAUGGAACUACCAAAGGCUUCUGGACCUGAAGCAGCCUGAUGUAAUCCUCCCACCUGUGUUAGAUCCAGUACUCAUAACUGAGCUCAACGCUGCUUCAAAGAGAGUGACUGGAGAAGAGAAGUACCCUGCACUUCGCCUCUCUGAUCGGGACACUGGGGAGAGGUUUGGCCUUGAAUACAUAGAACCUGGGUGCCGUCCAGUUCCACUAGAUUGGAACAAACAUAGAGUGCAAAGGAAAGCUGACUCUUCUGUUCUUGUGCCUCUCCCCCCUGGCCCAACACCAUCCAUAAACGCAGCACCACCCAGUGCUGUGCCUGUGUUCCAGUUCCCCCAACUUGAACCUGCAGCAAUCCGUAACCAACAGAUGUUGUCCCAAGGAAGCAUGGAACCUCAAGUUAAAAUGGAAACCUCAAAUAUCCCACCCCUGCCGUUGCAGUCUUCUCCAAGGAGUGCCCGCACUGGACCUAUCAAGACGGGUGGGCGAGUGUUCGUCUUGGACCACAAACGCUGGACUUCACCAAUGAAGAAAGCUAUCGACGACCUCAUAGAUAAGUAUCACGGACAGAAAGACAUGUUGAAGCUUGUGGAUCUAGACUACGCAGCUAUGGUGCAUCGGUCUGCCACAGAUCCAAACAGUCUGCUCCACCCCACAACCAAAUACCAUGUAACACAGUACAUGAAACACCUGGCUAAACAUGUGAACACAAGUUCAUCACUGAACACCAGUCCAGAAAAAAUGUUGGCGACACAAAAACUGUGGCAGAGUUUAACUGAGGAAAGUGAGACUGUCCAUGUCCCGGUUGUAGAACUGCCCCCAGCAAUUGUGAAUCCAGCAGAUCCGGUGUCACAGCCAGCACCUGAAAAGCCACUAACACAGGAGAAUGUACAGAAAAUGGUACAGGACAUAUUGCUACGUCAGCAGGACCAGCAACAACAGCAGCAGCAACAAAAACCAAGACAGACAAAAAAAUGUCUCUCGUGUGGGCAGCCAAAAUCCCGCUACCAAAAUGACGGAUCAUCAGUUCAUCACUUUUAUCAAAAAGGGCCCAUUAGAUACUUCUAUUGCUCCACAAAGGUGUUUAAAGCCUAUUGUGCAGAGGGCCUGGCAAACCCUAUAAUGACCUUUGAAGAGUUUGCACAGACUGAUUUCUUUCAGCAUGAACUUCAACUAACAAAGUGCAGAGUGGAGGACAAAGCUGAGAAGAAGAGGAAACUUCCAGACCCUCAACCUCAGGGAAGAAUGUGUCGAUUCUGUCGCACAGAGCUAAGGCAGGGCACAAACAGCUAACAUUUACACACAGGGUUUCCAGGAGUGGCAGGAAAAUACAUUUACUGUCCACCGAAAGUCCUCGCCUUAUAUAAAGACAGAGGCAUGACGAAGGAAAUGACAUGGAGGGAAUUUCAAGCCUCAUCAUUUUAUGACAUGGAAAAGGAGAGGUGGGCAGCAGAGGGAAAGAAGUGGCAAUGUUGACAUUUUAUGCAUACACUUCAUAUUUUAAUCAUCCACUGUUCUCAUAUUGCACCAUUCUGUUUCUCCAUCCAUUCUUUUCAAUAACAUACACAUUUCAAUCAGUCAUUGUUUUGUUUUGUUCAAGAUGGUGUUCAGAAUUUACCCCCAGACAUUGAAUGUUUUUUACCCAAGAUGCUCAAACUCAAACAAUGGUACAAUUGGUGCAUGAUACUAAUGCAGGCGUAGUGUCAGGUGUGUAAAUUGUGUAAUUUAA
rnacentral:lncRNA from 1 species